rnacentral:rRNA from 1 species
UACGGAGGGGGCAAGCGUUGUUCGGAAUUACUGGGCGUAAAGGGCGCGCAGGCGGCUGCUCAAGUCAGGCGUGAAAGGCCUGGGCUCAACCCGGGAAUUGCGCUUGAGACUGGGCUGGCUUGAGUGCGGGAGAGGAUGGUGGAAUUCCCAGUGUAGAGGUGAAAUUCGUAGAUAUUGGGAAGAACACCGGUGGCGAAGGCGGCCAUCUGGACCGCAACUGACGCUGAGGCGCGACAGCGUGGGGAGCAAACGAGG